rnacentral:misc_RNA from 1 species
AUUGAACUGAAAUUGAGCUGGAAUUGUCCAAUGAAGUUCUGGGCCAAAUUAGUUUAUUUUUUCUCUUGGUUUAAAAACUAAAAAAAAAUGGAAAAAAUUUGAACAGUUAGAUUUGAACCAAACUGAAUUGAACCAGAUUGAAUCGGAACCAAAACCAAAACCUUGGGGGGUAUAAGGGCCAAUUCAAUUCACUCUUUUAGUGAACCGUGAACCGCCAAAUCUAGGGCAGUUCGAGCUGAAACCGGCCCAGUGGCAAGGUCUAGAGGCAGCAACAUCAGCAAUGGAGGGAGAUUUUGGUCGAAAUCCUUUCACUUAUAUGUUAGUUUUACUUUUCAUUGAUCUUUUUUAUGUAUCAAUGACUAGCUGUAGGGAGAAUGAAGAUAUGAGAAGUGUUCAGAAGUCAUGGAACCAAAAUAAGCAUUUUCACUGCAGAAGACGGACUUUGCAUCAGAAGUCCUGAAGUUGGCUUUUGGUUAGCCAUGAUAACUUGUCUGC